rnacentral:rRNA from 1 species
GACAGAGGUGCCGAGCGUUAGGCGGAAUCACUGGGCUUAAAGCGUGUGUAGGCGGAUUCCUAAGUACCUUGUGAAAUCCCAUGGCUCAACCAUGGAACUGCUUGGUAUACUGGGUGUCUUGAGCCAACUAGGGGCUACCGGAACAAAUGGUGGAGCGGUGAAAUGCGUAGAUAUCAUUUGGAACGCCAAUGGUGAAAACAGGUAGCUGGGGUUGUGCUGACGCUGAGACACGAAGGCCAGGGGAGCAAACGGG